CUUCUUAUCAUGGUGCAUCGGGGCUCUUAACCCAAUGUCUUACCCUUUUAGUGGCAUGAGAUUUAAAUCUAUCAUCACACCCUCGGCCAAUAACAUAUUAGGCCAAAGUAUAAUAAACUCAAACUUGAGCCUAUAACAAUAUCACCACUUUGUGAUUAUCAAUACUCUUUUCAAACUUAAUUUAAAAAAAAACAUGGGUUAAUAAUAUACUUAUCUUAUUAUAAAUAGUAGAAAAGUGAAAUCCAAGUCGUGAUGAUUGCAUAGUUCUUGCGGUUUUGUCUUCUCCACCUUCCGAACCAAUUUUCUUUUCUUAGUCAUCAAAUUUUGAGACGGUAGAGUCUCGUGCUAAUAACAUGUUAUAAAAUAAAGAUAAAUUAUCAAUAUCAAACUUAAAGAGAUGAGAGAACUAGAGAAUUUUAGUAGUGCAUUUG
rnacentral:lncRNA from 1 species